rnacentral:misc_RNA from 1 species
AGACGAACUAAUUAAGGUUCUUGGUAUCGAUCUGUCCUGGAGAAUGCACAGAUCAUCUGAUGGGCAAAGAAGAAGAGUGCAGAUAUGUAUGGGUCUUCUGAAACCAUUCAAGGUACUACUUCUCGAUGAGAUAACAGUUGAUCUAGAUGUUCUUGCAAGGGCUGAUCUUUUGAAAUUUCUGAUCAAAGAAUGUGAAGAGCGAGGCGCUACAAUAAUUUAUGCAACACACAUUUUUGAUGGUCUUGAGAAUUGGCCUUCUCAUUUAAUAUAUGUGGCUCAUGGGAAGCUGCAAUUAGCAAUGCCAAUGGAUAGGGUGAAGCAGAUCAGCAAUUUAUCACUAAUGAGGACAGUAGAGAGAUGGCUGAGGAAAGAAAGAGACGAGGAGAGGCAACGACGGAAAGAGAGGAAGGCAAAGGGCCUUCCUGAAUAUGAAAAACAAGUUGAGGGCACUCGAGUGGUAGGGGGAGAUCCAGGUCGUGCUGCUGGUCGUCCAUUAAACAAUGGUUGGGCUGGUGGAACACUACAUUCUACUAUUGCUGGCGAAGAGAACUUUUUCUUAAGCUCAAACCGUGUUCUAAGAUAAAGAGAACUGAUGCACACUUCUUUGGAACUGGUGUCAACGUACUUUACCAUUUCAUUCUUUCUGGUCAGAUAACCAUGAAGCUAGAACUGAUAAAGUUUUAAAUUUGUAGAUUAGAAUUAUUCUGUUUAUUUGGUUUGUAUACGUAUCUCCUAUUUUCUAUAUGCUCUUGUGGGGACUAAAAAGUUGGUGUAAUCUUACAAAUUGAA